rnacentral:rRNA from 1 species
AGUGAAGCGGGAUGAGCUCAAAUUUAAAAUCUGGCUGGUUUACUAGUCCGAAUUGUAGUUUAAAGAAGCGUUUUCGGUGGCAGCCUGGGUAUAAAUCCUUUGGAACAGGGUAUCAUAGAGGGUGAGAAUCCCGUCUUUGACUCAGUGCAUGCUACUAUGUGAUACGUUUUCAAAGAGUCGAGUUGUUUGGGAAUGCAGCUCAAAAUGGGUGGUAAAUUUCAUCUAAAGCUAAAUAUUGGCGAGAGACCGAUAGCGAACAAGUACCGUGAGGGAAAGAUGAAAAGAACUUUGAAAAGAGAGUUAAACAGUGCGUGAAAUUGUUGAAAGGGAAACGCUUGACACCAGUCAUGCGAGCGGAAAAUCAGUCUUUUGCAGUGGGGAGUGUGUGUGGGUUCGGACCGCAAGGCCGGCCUGCGCUUCAUCUCUGCUGUAAGUGAUGCACUUUUUCGUUUGCAGGCCAACAUCAGUUUCUUCUGCUGGACAAAACUCUUGAGAAGGUAGCAGCUUAGGCUGUGUUAUAGCUCUUGAGCGAUACAGUGGAGGAGACUGAGGUUUUCGCAGCGCGUGCUUUCGGGCAAGGCUGAUUGGGUGCUAUGGGAUCGUUCGGUGUACAAUGCAUGCAUUUUGCGCCGUGUCUUUUCUAUACUCGCUCAACUCGGCUCUUCCGCGCUUAGGAUGUUGGCUUAAUGGUUUUAAUCGACCUCGUCUUGA